UCCGGAGGGGGCUAUCGUUGUUCGGAAUUACUGGGCGUAAAGCGCACGUAGGCGGAUCAGAAAGUCAGAGGUGAAAUCCCAGGGCUCAACCUUGGAACUGCCUUUGAAACUCCUGGUCUUGAGGUCGAGAGAGGUGAGUGGAAUUCCGAGUGUAGAGGUGAAAUUCGUAGAUAUUCGGAGGAACACCAGUGGCGAAGGCGGCUCACUGGCUCGAUACUGACGCUGAGGUGCGAAAGCGUGGGGAGAAAACAGG
rnacentral:rRNA from 1 species